CACACUUUUGAACAUGAGGUUUCCUGCUCAGUUCCUGGGGCUUCUCCUGCUCUGGGUCCCAGGAUCCAGUGGAGAUGUUGUGCUGACCCAGACUCCACUCUCCCUGUCUGUCAUCCCUGGAGAGACAGCCUCCAUCUCCUGCAAGUCAAGUCAGAGCCUCCUGAGUAGUGAUGGAAAUACCUAUUUGUACUGGCUUCAACAUAAACCAGGCCAGUCUCCAGAGCGACUUAUCUAUCAGGUUUUCAAACAUGACCCUGGGGUCUCAGACAGGUUCACUGGCAGUGGAUCAGAGACAGAUUUCACACUUAGAAUCAGCAGUGUGCAGGCUGAGGAUGCUGGAGUCUAUUACUGUUUUCAAGCUACACAUAACCCUACCACAGUGAUACAGCCCUGA